CGAACGGGUGAGUAACGCGUGAGGAACCUGCCUCAAAGAGGGGGACAACAGUUGGAAACGACUGCUAAUACCGCAUAAGCCCACGGGUCGGCAUCGAUCUGAGGGAAAAGGAGCAAUCCGCUUUGAGAUGGCCUCGCGUCCGAUUAGCUAGUUGGUGAGGUAACGGCCCACCAAGGCGACGAUCGGUAGCCGGACUGAGAGGUUGAACGGCCACAUUGGGACUGAGACACGGCCCAG
rnacentral:rRNA from 1 species